rfam:Punica granatum cultivar Dabenzi scaffold176, whole genome shotgun sequence.
GUCUCUUCAGACAUCCGAUAAAGUUGGAACGACCUAGAGAAGAUUAGCAUAGCCCCUGGGCAAGGAUGACACGAUCAGAUCGAGAAAACGAUAGUGCCAACGAAUU